UACGUAGGGUGCAAGCGUUAAUCGGAAUUACUGGGCGUAAAGCGUGCGCAGGCGGUUAUGCAAGACAGAUGUGAAAUCCCCGGGCUCAACCUGGGAACUGCAUUUGUGACUGCAUGGCUAGAGUACGGUAGAGGGGGAUGGAAUUCCGCGUGUAGCAGUGAAAUGCGUAGAUAUGCGGAGGAACACCGAUGCGAAGGCAAUCCCCUGGACCUGUACUGACGCUCAUGCACGAAAGCGUGGGGAGCAAA
rnacentral:rRNA from 1 species